rnacentral:misc_RNA from 1 species
AAGUUAUAACAAGGUUUCCGUAGAUGAACCUGCAGAAGAAUCAUUAAAAAUGAACCUCCACAAGAGGUGUUUUCAUUCCGAUCCAAGAAAGGAACCACGUCGCAACCCUUACCCGUACAGUAGCAGGCUUUGGGGACCAUGUUUUUACUCGAACACACAAGUCGCACAUGAUGCAUUCGCCUAGUGGCGGCCUGCCCCUUUCAACAAAAAUCAUUUUACCUGACUGAACUUUUUUGCGAACAUGCAAGAUAAAUCGAAAUACAACUUUCAGCAAUGGAUCUCUUGGUUCUC